UCACAACCUGCAUGAAUGAGGUAA
rnacentral:miRNA from 1 species